GCCGGCGUACUCCAACUGGCAGAGAGCCGCGGUUUAGGUCCGCGUCAGUGCGGGUUCGAAUCCCGCCGCCGGCA
rnacentral:tRNA from 2 species